UACGUAGGGUGCGAGCGUUGUCCGGAAUUAUUGGGCGUAAAGAGCUCGUAGGCGGUGUGUCACGUCGUUCGUGAAAACCUGCAGCUUAACUGUGGGCGUGCGGUCGAUACGGGCAUCACUGGAGUUCGGGCAGGGGAGACUGGAAUUCCUGGUGUAGCGGUGAAAUGCGCAGAUAGUCAGGAGGAACACCGGUGGCGAAGGCGGGUCUCUGGGCCGUAAC
rnacentral:rRNA from 1 species